CCUACGGGUGGCAGCAGUGAGGAAUAUUGGUCAAUGGGCGGAAGCCUGAACCAGCCAAGUAGCGUGCAGGCUGACGGCCCUCCGGGUUGUAAACUGCUUUUAUACGGGAAUAACGCGCCUUACGUGUAGGGCUUUGCAUGUACCGUAUGAAUAAGGACCGGCUAAUUCCGUGCCAGCAGCCGCGGUAAUACGGGAGGUACGGGCGUUAUCCGGAUUUAUUGGGUUUAAAGGGAGAGUGGGCCGCAGUACAAGCGUGCUGUGAAAUGUCCGGGCUCAACCCGGGCCUUGCAGCGCGAACUGGAGUGCUUGAGUCCGCGGAAAGCAGGCGGAAUUCGUCGUGUAGCGGUGAAAUGCUGAGAUAUGACGAAGAACCCCGAUUGCGAAGGCAGCUUGCUGCAGCGGAACUGACGCUGAUGCUCGAAAGCGCGGGUAUCGAACAGGAUUAGAUACCCGGGUAGUC
rnacentral:rRNA from 1 species